rnacentral:misc_RNA from 1 species
AAAAAAAAAAGAAAAGAAAAAAAUCACCUAUAAUGUAAUCAAUGAUAUAUUUAAAACCAUGAGAUACCAUCUCAUUUCUGAAAACCGCCAUUAUUUAAACAACAGUCACUUGCAGCCAUAUCCACUUCUUUUAAUAAUAAAAAUAAAAAAAAGGGAAAAAAAGAGGCAGAAAACAUGCCCAGUGCACAUCUGAACAUAAAGCUCCUAGCUUAUUGUUGUUUUAUGUACUUAAACAAAUAAGCUGUACCACAUCUAAUCCAUUUCAUGUCUCUGAUUCCAUGGUAAUUGAGAGAGAAACCCAUGAUUCGUAAGUGACUAUAAAACCAUAUUUGACUUGCACAGAACAGUGGUUAUCACAUAAGAGAAUUAUAACCAAAUAAUACCUGCAUGUAAAACGAGUUAAUUACCUCUCUAUCUGUUCUUGGUUUCA